GACGAACGCUGGCGGCGUGCUUAACACAUGCAAGUCGAACGGAAAGGCCCUGCUUUUGUGGGGUGCUCGAGUGGCGAACGGGUGAGUAACACGUGAGUAACCUGCCCUUGACUUUGGGAUAACUUCAGGAAACUGGGGCUAAUACCGGAUAGGAGCUCCUGCUGCAUGGUGGGGGUUGGAAAGUUUCGGCGGUUGGGGCUGGACUCGCGGCUUAUCAGCUUGUUGGUGGGGUAGUGGCUUACCAAGGCUUUGACGGGUAGCCGGCCUGAGAGGGUGACCGGCCACCUUGGGCCUGCGAUACGCACCAGACUCCAACGGGCGGCAGCAGUGGAGAGUAUUGCGCAAUGGGCGGGCGCCUGAUGCAGCAACGCCGCGUGCGUGAUACCGGCCUUCGGGUUGUAAACCGCUUUCGACUGUGACGAAGCGUGAGUGACGGUAAUGGGUAAAAAAGCACCGGCUAACUACGUG
rnacentral:rRNA from 1 species